AUUGAACGCUGGCGGCGUGGCUAAAGCAUGCAAGUCGAACGGGUCCGCAAGGACCAGUGGCGGAAGGGUCAGUAACACGAUCGAACGUGCCCCGAGGUGGGGGAUAGCGGCGGGAAACUGCCGGUAAUACCCCAUGAUCUCUCCGGAGCAAAGGUUUACCGCCUUGGGAUCGGCGAUCGUCCUAUCAGCUAGUUGGCGGGGUAACGGCCCACCAAGGCUAUGACGGGUAGCAGGUGUGAGAGCACGACCUGCGACAUCGGGACUGAGACACUGCCCGGACUCCUACGGGAGGCUGCAGCGACGAAUCUUCCGCAAUGGGGGCAACCCCGACGGAGCGACGCCGCGUGUGGGAUGAAGCGCCUACGGCGUGUAAACCACUGUCAGGGGACAGAACCAAUGAUCGUCCCCAGAGGAAGAGACGGCUAACCCUGUGCCAGCAGCUGCGGUAAGACAGGGGUCUCGAGCGUUAAUCGGAAUCACUGGGCUUAAAGGGUGCGUAGGCGGACCGACACG
rnacentral:rRNA from 1 species